GAUGAACGCUAGCGGCAGGCUCAAUACAUGCAAGUCGAGGGGCAGCAUGUCCCGAGCAAUCGGGAUGAUGGCGACCGGCAAACGGGUGCGGAACACGUACAGAACCUUCCUUCGAGCGGGGAAUAGCCCAGAGAAAUUUGGAUUAAUACCCCAUAGCAUAACGGAGUGGCAUCACUUUGUUAUUAAAGAUUUAUCACUUGAAGAUGGCUGUGCGGCUGAUUAGGUAGUUGGCGGGGUAACGGCCCACCAAGCCUGCGAUCAGUAACUGGUGUGAGAGCACGACCAGUCACACGGGCACUGAGACACGGGCCCGACUCCUACGGGAGGCAGCAGUAAGGAAUAUUGGUCAAUGGACGAAAGUCUGAACCAGCCAUGCCGCGUGGAGGAUGAAGGCCCUCUGGGUUGUAAACUUCUUUUAUAUGGGACGAAAAUGGGACUUUCUAGUUCAACUGACGGUACCAUGUGAAUAAGCACCGGCUAACUCCGUGCCAGCAGCCGCCGUAAGAC
rnacentral:rRNA from 1 species